rnacentral:rRNA from 1 species
AACGAACGCUGGCGGCAGGCUUAACACAUGCAAGUCGAGCGCCCCGCAAGGGGAGCGGCAGACGGGUGAGUAACGCGUGGGAAUCUACCCAUCUCUACGGAAUAACGCAUGGAAACGUGUGCUAAUACCGUAUACGUCCUUCGGGAGAAAGAUUUAUCGGAGAUGGAUGAGCCCGCGUUGGAUUAGCUAGUUGGUGGGGUAAAGGCCUACCAAGGCGACGAUCCGUAGCUGGUCUGAGAGGAUGAUCAGCCACACUGGGACUGAGACACGGCCCAGACUCCGACGGGAGGCAGCAGUGGGGAAUAUUGGACAAUGGGCGCAAGCCUGAUCCAGCCAUGCCGCGUGAGUGAUGAAGGCCCUAGGGUCGUAAAGCUCUUUCACCGGUGAAGAUAAUGACGGUAACCGGAGAAGAAGCCCCGGCUAACUUCGUGCCAGCCGCCGCCGUAAUAC